rnacentral:rRNA from 1 species
UACGGGGGGGGCAAGCGUUGUUCGGAAUUACUGGGCGUAAAGGGCGCGUAGGCGGCCUUCUAAGUCGAACGUGAAAUCCCCGGGCUCAACCCGGGAACUGCGUCCGAUACUGGAAGGCUUGAAUCCGGGAGAGGGAUGUGGAAUUCCAGGUGUAGCGGUGAAAUGCGUAGAUAUCUGGAGGAACACCGGUGGCGAAGGCGACAUCCUGGACCGGUAUUGACGCUGAGCGCGAAAGCCAGGG